rnacentral:rRNA from 1 species
UACGGAGGGUCCAAGCGUUAUCCGGAAUCAUUGGGUUUAAAGAGUCCGUAGGCGGUUUUGUAAGUCAGUGGUGAAAGCCCAUCGCUCAACGGUGGAACGGCCAUUGAUACUGCAAGACUUGAAUUAUUAGGAAGUAACUAGAAUAUGUAGUGUAGCGGUGAAAUGCUUAGAUAUUACAUGGAAUACCAAUUGCGAAGGCAGGUUACUACUAAUUGAUUGACGCUGAUGGACGAAAGCGUGGGGAGCGAACAGG